rnacentral:pre_miRNA from 1 species
CGGGGGAGGCCGGAUCCUGGGCUGUGUCCCGGCGCCCUGUGCUCCGGAGCCUGCGCUGUUGGAAUCGCGCUCCCGCCCCGCAGCCCCCU